AAAAAAAAAAGCAGGUGAAAUUUGUGCAGGGGGAUCUCACCUGAACAAGGAUCAGAAAGACAAGGGGUUGUCCCCAAACCUACCCACCCUCCUAGUGGCAGCUGGACCCUGGACCCCCUCACCACCACCAGCCUACCCCAUGCUAUCCAUCACCGGCCAGCUCAUGUCCUAAACAUCUCUGCAUCCCUCCUCUCUCUCCAUCCACGCUGCUGCCUCACUGGUCCUGGCCACCACGGCUCUCUCAGCUAGGCUGCAGUCACUUCCAGGCUGGAUUCCCCACCCCUGCCCUUGACCUUCUCCUGUCCUCUACUCCACAAGGCAGCCAGAAGAAUCUGCCAAUGUAUCCAGUCUUCUCUUGGGCUAGAGCCUUCUGGUGGCUUCCAAUCUGCACCCAUCCAAGCCCUUUGUGUCAGGCACCAUCUCAUCUUCAUAAAUCCUGUUUCUAUUGCCUGGAGGACUCCCCCAGCCCUAACUUCCCCUGUUCCUAAAUGACAUUUCACCACCCUUCAGAUCUCAAUGUCACUUUUGACAGAAACCUUAGCCAGGCAUGAUAGCACACACCUGUGGUCCCAGCUACUCUGAAGACUGAGGAGAAAUGAUCUCUUGAAGUCAGGAGCUGGGGGUUGCAGUGAGCUAGGAUUGCACCACUGCACUCCAACCUGGACAACAGAGCAAGACCCUGUCUCUAGGCCAGGUGCAGUGGCUCACACCUGUAAUCCCAGCACUUUGGGAGGCUAAGGCAGACAGAUCACCUGAGGUCAGAAGUUCGAGACCAGCCUGGCCAACAUUGUGAAACUCCAUCUUUACUAAAAAUACAAAAAUUAGCCGGGUGUGGUGGCAUGCACCUGUAAUCCCAGCUACUUGGGAGGCUGAGGCGGGAGAAUUGCUUGAACCUGGGAGGCAGAGGUUGCAGUGAGCCAAGAUUGCACCACUGCACUCCAGCAUAGACAAUGAAGCAAGAAAAAAAAGAAAAGACCUUGUCUCUAAAAAGAGAGAGAGAGAAACCCUGCAUGGACCUCCAUUCAUAUGGCCGUUCUGUUACUAGAAGGGUCCAGACCAACACAAGAGCACUAGGAGCCAAAGAUGAAAUUCACAAAAGAGCAAUUAUGAGAAAUGGGAGAAAGAUGGAGGGACUGCAACAUAGGGCUAAUGGAAGUUUUAGAAAAACAGCAGAAAAUCACAGAGAAGCAAUAUAUGAUGGACAAUCAAUGAGAAUUUUCAAAAACUAGGCUGGGCGUUUUGGCUCAUGCCUAUAAACCCAGCACUUUGGGAGGCUGAAGCAAGUGGAUCAACUGAGGUCAGGAGUUCCAGACCAGCCUGGCCAAUAUGGUGAAACCUCGUCUCUACUAAAAAUACAAAAAUUAGCCUGGCGUGGUGGCGUGCACCUGUAGUCCCACCUACUCAGGAGGCUAAGGCAGGAGAAUCACUUGAACCCGGGAGGCAGAGGUUGCAGUGAGCCAAUAUUGUGCCACUGCACUCCAGACUGGAUGACAGAGCAAGACUCCAUCUCAAAAAAAAAAAAAAAAAAGGAAAAGAAAGAAAAAAGAACUAAAGAGUCAUACAAGUCCUCAAAUCAAAAACAUACUCCAAGAACAAACAGCAUAAAUUAAUAUGUCUAUAUAGGGUUCUAUCAUUAUUAAACCACUUAAAAUCAAGGAUAAAGAGGAAUUUUUUUCUUUUUUUUUUCUUUUUUUGAGAUAGGGUCUCACUCUGUCACCCAGGCUGGAGUGCAGUGGUGCAAUCAUAGCUCACUGUAGCCUCAAACUCCUGGGCUCAAGCAAUUCUCCCACCUCAGACUCCCAAGUAACUGGGACUACAAGCCUGCAAGCAGGCACCACCAUGCCUAGCUAAUAUUUGUAUUUUUUUAGAGAUGGGAUCUUGCUAUGUUGCCCAGGAUGGAAAUCUUUUUUGUUGUUGUUGGUUUUUUUUUUUUUUUUUUUUUUGGAGAUGGAGUUUCACUCUUGUUGCCCAGGCUGGAGUGCAAUGGCGCCAUCUCAGCUCACUACAACCUCCACCUCCCGGGUUCAAGUAGUUCUCCUGCCUCAGCCUCCCGAGUAGUUGGGAUUACAGGCAUGCACCACCACGCCUGGCUUUUUUUUUUUUUUUUUUUUUUUUUUUGUAUUUUUUUAGUAGAGACAGGGUUUCUCCAUGUUGGUCAGGCUGGUCUCAAACUCCCAAAGUGAAGUGAUCAGCCUGCCUCGGCCUCCCGGAGUGCUGGGACUACAGGCCUGAGCUACUGCGCCCAACCUCAGGAUGGAAAUCUUAAAAGUUACUAGGCCAGGUGCGGUGGCUCAUGCCUAUAAUCCCAGCACUUUGGGAGGCCGAUAUGGGCAGAUCAGCAGAGGUCAGGAGUUUGAGAUUAUCCUGACCAACAUUGUGAAACCCUGCCUCUACUAAAAAUAAAAAAAAAAAAAAAAAUUAGCCAGGCAUGGUGGUGUGCGCUUGUAAUCCCAGCUGCUUGGGAGGCUGAGGCAGGAUAAUCACUUGAACCUUGGAGGCCAAGGUUGCAGUGAGCCAAGAUCACGCCACUGCUCACCAGCCUGGGCAACAAUCUGUGAAGAAAGAAAAAAGAGAAGAGAAGGGAAGGGAGGGGAGGGGAAGGGGGAGAGGACGGGGAAGGGGAAGGGAAGGGAAGGGAAGACAAUUAAAAAAAAAAAAACAGGCAAAGAAUAUGAACAGGCAAUUCACAGAAGGAAAACCCAAAUGACCCACAAACAUGAAUAGAUGUUCAACCACAAUGACAAUCAGAGAAAUUGUAAAAAUAAAGCAGCAACAAUAUAUCAUUUUACAUUUAUCAGCUAAGCAAAAGCUAAAGUCUGAUAAUCCCAAUUAUUGAUGGGUGUGUAGAAAAAGGAGAUUCUGACACAUGCUGGUAGAGUGUCAGUUGGUAUAAGCCCUUGGAGAGCAAAACAGAGAUAUUCACCACCCUCUUGUCCCAACCAUUCCACAUACUAUUCUACGUAAAUAUCUUGCAGAGAGAUUCCAGCACUAGUGCUAUAGAAUACAUUUACAGGAAUGUUUAUUGCAACAUUGUUUAAAACAAGAGAAAAAACAGAAACAAAGUAAACGUUCACCAACAGGAGACUGGAUAAACAAAGUAUAAUGUAUAAUGGAAUAUGUUGUAGCAGUUAAAAUAAAUAAAGAAAAGCUACAUGUAUCAUUAUAGUCUACGUAGUAUCAACUUGGAUAAACCUCAAAAGUCAUUAGUAGUGAGCAAAAAAAGCAGGUUGCAGAAGGAUACAUACAAUAUGAUACCAGUUAUAUACAAUGUUUAUGGUUCAACUUUUCCAGUCUGGUUUAUUGAGCUACAAUUUGCAUACAGUGAAAUUGACUAGUCUUUGUGUACAGUUUUGUGAGUCUGGCAGAAUGCAUACCUUUAGGUAGACAUCAUCACAAUCAAGAUAUAAAAGGGUUCCAUCAUUCCCCAAAAUUGCACACUGCCCUAUUGUAGUCAAGUCUUACCCCCACCUCACAUCUCCUGUAAUCAUGGAGCACAUGGCAUUUUGAGUCUGUCUUCUUCCACUUAGCAUAAUGCCUUUGAGAUUCAUUCAUGUUGUUGAGUAUCUCAACAGCUUUUUUUUUAACUGCUGAAUAGUAGUCUACUGUAUGGAUGUACCAAUUUAUCCAUUCUGUAGUUGAAGUGCAUUUGACUUGUUUGUACUUUGGGGCAAUUAUAAAUAAACUGACCAUAAAUAUUUGUGAACCGACUUUUGUUUGAAUACAAAUUUUCAUUUCUCCUGGUUAAACACCUAAAAAUGGGAUUGCUGGGUCAUGUGGUAAGUGUAUGUU
rnacentral:lncRNA from 1 species